GUGGCUUGCCACUGAGUUAAGGGACAGCCUGUCUCAGUUUCUCUGUCUGAGCAUCGGCUGAUUCUGAGCCUUGUUCGUAGCCGC
rnacentral:miRNA from 1 species